AAAAGAGAGCAGGUUGAGCAA
rnacentral:misc_RNA from 1 species